rnacentral:lncRNA from 1 species
GGUGGUGGACGUGGCAGAACGGCGACAAAUUGAAGAAUAACAAGCACGAAACGACGUCGUUUAUGUAUAAUAGAUACUACGUCGUUUUAUUAACAAUCCGGCGUGUCCACGUCACUUAAUUCCGAUUCCACGUGUGAUCGAAUUUGGCCGGAAAACCCGUCAUGGGAAAAUUAGGAAAAAUUGAAAGUUGGGGGUUUUUUGUGGGAAGUUCAAAGAUUGAGGGAAAAAACGGAAAAUGACUAUAGUUUAAGGAUUUAGAGAGAAUUAACCCUUUAUUUUAUUUUCUUUUGUUUUUGUUUUUUAAGUUUUUUAAUUUUUCAUUUAUAUUCAUUUUUUUAUCUUCUCUUUUUUAAAUGAUAUUUUUUAUUUUAUUUUUAUUGUGUUGUCAAUUUAUUGUAUUUAAUUUCAUAAUUAAAUUGGCUUUUGUGUUUUAUGUUUUGAUUUUAAAAAA